rnacentral:rRNA from 1 species
UACGUAGGGUGCAAGCGUUGUCCGGAAUUAUUGGGCGUAAAGAGCUCGUAGGCGGUUUGUCGCGUCUGCUGUGAAAACUCGGGGCUUAACCCCGGGCCUGCAGUGGGUACGGGCAGACUAGAGUGCGGUAGGGGAGACUGGAAUUCCUGGUGUAGCGGUGAAAUGCGCAGAUAUCGGGAGGAACACCUGUGGCGAAAGCGGCGCACUGGACCAUAACUGACGCUGAUGCGCGAAAGCUAGGGGAGCAAACAGG